GGAGAAGUGGCAGAGUGGUUGAUUGCGACGAUCCCGAAAAUCGUUUAGCCCCGGUUAACGAGGGUUCAAAUCCCUCUUUCUCCA
rnacentral:tRNA from 2 species